UUGGAGGGCAAGUCUGGUGCCAGCAGCCGCGGUAAUUCCAGCUCCAAUAGCGUAUAUUAAAGUUGCUGCAGUUAAAAAGCUCGUAGUUGAAUUUCGGGAUCAAAUUGCUGGUCGUGCCUACGGUACGUACUGGUUUUGUUGGUUCCUCCUUUCCGAGGAGCCGUGAUGUCAUUAAUUUGGUGUCGCAAGGAAUCGGAACUGUUACUUUGAAAAAUUAGAGUGUUUAAAGCAGGCUAACGCUUGAAUACAUUAGCAUGGAAUAAUGAAAUAGGACGAUUGAUCCUAUUUUGUUGGUUUCUAGGAUCUACGUAAUGAUUAAUAGGGAUAGUUGGGGGCAUUAGUAUUCAAUUGUCAGAGGUGAAAUUCUUGGAUUUAUUGAAGACUAACUACUGCGAAAGCAUUUGCCAAGGAUGUUUUCAUUAAUCAAGAACGAAAGUUAGGGGAUCGAAGACGAUCAGAUACCGUCGUAGUCUUAACCAUAAACUAUGCCGACUAGGGAUCGGAUGAUAAAAUUUUAA
rnacentral:rRNA from 1 species